rnacentral:rRNA from 1 species
UACGUAGGGGGCUAGCGUUGUCCGGAUUUAUUGGGCGUAAAGAGCGUGUAGGCGGCCAGAUAGGUCCGUUGUGAAACCUGGAGGCUUAACCUCCAGCCCGUCGAUGGAAACCAUCUGGCUAGAGUCCGGAAGAGGGAGAGUGGAAUUCCUGGUGUAGCGGUGAAAUGCGCAGAUAUCAGGAGGAACACCCGUGGCGAAAGCGGCUCUCUGGGACGGUACUGACGCUGAGACGCGAAAGCCGUGGGGAGCAAACAGG